AAGGGUUGUUGACGUUCAUUCCUCCUCCCAGAACGUCGGCAUCAAAGCAACGAACCUCCUCCCUCGUUGCUUUCCUAUCAAACCCGCCGCGAUCCUCCUCCCCGCGGCGGGUUUUUCUU
rnacentral:sRNA from 1 species